UCCGCGGUCGUGGCGGAAUGGCAGACGCGCUAGGUUGAGGGCCUAGUGGGAGAAAUCCCGUGGAGGUUCAAAUCCUCUCGGCCGCAUCAAAAUUCUUAAUUAAAUAAGCGGGUGUAGUUUAAUGGCAAAACCUCAGCCUUCCAAGCUGAUGUUGUGGGUUCGAUUCCCAUCACCCGCUCCAUAGAUAAUUUUUAGCUAGUUGGUAAGGUAACGGCUUACCAAGGCAACGAUGCAUAGCCGACCUGAGAGGGUGAUCGGCCACACUGGAACUGAGACACGGUCCAGACUCCUACGGGAGGCAGCAGUAGGGAAUCUUCCGCAAUGGGCGAAAGCCUGACGGAGCAACGCCGCGUGAGUGAUGAAGGUCUUCGGAUCGUAAAACUCUGUUAUUAGGGAAGAACAUAUGUGUAAGUAACUGUGCACAUCUUGACGGUACCUAAUCAGAAAGCCACGGCUAACUACGUGCCAGCAGCCGCGGUAAUACGUAGGUGGCAAGCGUUAUCCGGAAUUAUUGGGCGUAAAGCGCGCGUAGGCGGUUUUUUAAGUCUGAUGUGAAAGCCCACGGCUCAACCGUGGAGGGUCAUUGGAAACUGGAAAACUUGAGUGCAGAAGAGGAAAGUGGAAUUCCAUGUGUAGCGGUGAAAUGCGCAGAGAUAUGGAGGAACACCAGUGGCGAAGGCGACUUUCUGGUCUGUAACUGACGCUGAUGUGCGAAAGCGUGGGGAUCAAACAGGAUUAGAUACCCUGGUAGUCCACGCCGUAAACGAUGAGUGCUAAGUGUUAGGGGGUUUCCGCCCCUUAGUGCUGCAGCUAACGCAUUAAGCACUCCGCCUGGGGAGUACGACCGCAAGGUUGAAACUCAAAGGAAUUGACGGGGACCCGCACAAGCGGUGGAGCAUGUGGUUUAAUUCGAAGCAACGCGAAGAACCUUACCAAAUCUUGACAUCCUUUGACAACUCUAGAGAUAGAGCCUUCCCCUUCGGGGGACAAAGUGACAGGUGGUGCAUGGUUGUCGUCAGCUCGUGUCGUGAGAUGUUGGGUUAAGUCCCGCAACGAGCGCAACCCUUAAGCUUAGUUGCCAUCAUUAAGUUGGGCACUCUAAGUUGACUGCCGGUGACAAACCGGAGGAAGGUGGGGAUGACGUCAAAUCAUCAUGCCCCUUAUGAUUUGGGCUACACACGUGCUACAAUGGACAAUACAAAGGGCAGCGAAACCGCGAGGUCAAGCAAAUCCCAUAAAGUUGUUCUCAGUUCGGAUUGUAGUCUGCAACUCGACUACAUGAAGCUGGAAUCGCUAGUAAUCGUAGAUCAGCAUGCUACGGUGAAUACGUUCCCGGGUCUUGUACACACCGCCCGUCACACCACGAGAGUUUGUAACACCCGAAGCCGGUGGAGUAACCUUUUAGGAGCUAGCCGUCGAAGGUGGGACAAAUGAUUGGGGUGAAGUCGUAACAAGGUAGCCGUAUCGGAAGGUGCGGCUG
rnacentral:rRNA from 1 species